ACCUGCCCCAGCUUACCUUACCUGAACUUGGAAACUAAGGAGGUGGGGCUUAGUGAGUGCUUUGAUGGGAGACCACCAGGAAAUCCCAGGGCAGUAGGUU
rnacentral:rRNA from 1 species